rnacentral:misc_RNA from 1 species
UUCCUUCUCAUUUGUUUGUUACUUGAGUAUCAGUUUUCUUUAAUUUUUAUUUUGCUCUCUCUCUCUCUCAUUUUUAUGAUAUAAAAAUAGAAAACAAUGAAACUUAGGGGAACCUUGGGUUUUCACUGGCAUUGUUUUUCGGGUAUGAUUAAUUGCAGAUAGUAACCAAUCUGCAACAGAGUUUUAAAUACUUGCACUUUCAACGGUUAAUUUUACAUUUUCUAUGGUAUAAUAAAAAUGUAGUAGCUGUAGAGUUCCUGGUUUGCCUUUGAUUUCAUAUCGACAAUCCCAUCUGAAGUUGCUCGGAAGAGCUCCCCUAAACUAUUCCUAUCAUAUACAUAUGGCUUGUUCAACAUCCUUCGCCUUUGGCAGCUCAGAAGAGUUAAUGCUCUAUUUUCCAGGUAACAAGUUUUUCCCUCAGCUAGCUUGUAACUUUAACCAAUAUGGACUUUUGAUGAUUUGGUAGUUUGAUGCAGCAUCUGAAGGAAGUGUUUUAUUUGUUAGUGACUUCAGCUAUGUAAGUUUUUUCAACUGAUUGGAGGACAGAAACUAUAACUACUUCUGGGUUCGA